AUGUUGAUGCAAGACUACUUCGCGAAGAAUCCAACAUAUCCACCGCACCUCUUCCGGAGAAGGUACCGAAUGCGCCGAUCCCUCUUUGUGAAAAUUGUUCAAGCUUGCAAGGCAAAUUGUCGGUAUUUUACUCAAAGAAGAACUGUUGCGGGCUUAAAGGGAUUU
rnacentral:rRNA from 1 species